GGCGAGAUGGCCGAGCGGUCUAAGGCGCUGGUUUUAGGCACCAGUCUCUUCGGGGGCGUGGGUUCGAAUCCCACUCUCGUCA
rfam:Haemonchus contortus, ISE/inbred ISE, WGS project CAVP01000000 data, contig: Hcontortus_28438